CCUACGGGAGGCUGCAGUGGGGAAUAUUGCGCAAUGGGCGGAAGCCUGACGCAGCGACGCCGCGUGGGGGAUGACGGCCUUCGGGUUGUAAACCUCUUUCGGCCCCGACGAAGCCGUGAGGUGACGGUAGGGGUGGAAGAAGCACCGGCCAACUACGUGCCAGCAGCCGCGGUAACACGUAGGGUGCGAGCGUUGUCCGGAAUUAUUGGGCGUAAAGAGCUCGUAGGCGGUGUGUCGCGUCGGCCGUGAAAACCUGCAGCUUAACUGUGGGCUUG
rnacentral:rRNA from 1 species